rnacentral:ncRNA from 1 species
CGCAUAGUCUCUCGUAUAUACUCGAGAAUUGGCUCGAGAGUCUCUACCCGGGAACCGUAAAUUCCUGGACUACGGGAAAAAGUGUU